UGUUGUUGUUGUUGUUGUUGUUGGGGCAGGUGUUGUUGUUGUUGGGGCAGGUGUUGUUGUUGUUGUUGUUGUUGGGGCAGGUGUUGUUGUUGUUGUUGGGGCAGGUGUUGUUGUUGUUGUUGUUGGGGCAGGUGUUGUUGUUGUUGUUGGGGCAGUUGUUGUUGGGGCAGGGUGUUGUUGUUGUUGGGGCAGGUGUUGUUGUUGUUGUUGUUGUUGGGGCUGGUGUUGUUGUUGUUGUUGUUGUUGUUGUUGUUGGGGCAGGUGUUGUUGUUGGGGCAGGUGUUGUUGUUGUUGUUGGGGCAGGUGUUGUUGUUGUUGUUGUCAGGGCAGGUGUUGUUGUUGGGGCAGAUGUUGUUGUUGUUGUUGUUGUUGUUGGGGCAGGUGUUGUUGUUGUUGUUGUUGGGGCAGGUGUUGUUGUUGUUGUUGUCGGGGCAGGUGUUGUUGUUGUUGUUGUUGUUGGGGCAGGUGUUGUUGUUGUUGUUGUUGGGGAAGGUGUUGUUGUUGUUGUUGGGGCUGGUGUUGUUGUUGUUGUUGUUGGGGCAGGUGUUGUUGUUGUUGUUGUUGUUGGGGCAGGUGUUGUUGUUGUUGGGAAGGUGUUGUUGUUGUUGUUGUUGUUGGGACAGGUGUUGUUGUUGUUGUUGUUGUUGUUGGGGAAGGUGUUGUUGUUGUUGUUGUUGGGGCAGGUGUUGUUGUUGUCGGGGCAGGUGUUGUUGUUGUUGUUGUUGGGGCAGGUGUUGUUGUUGUUGUUGGGGCAGGUGUUGUUGUUGUUGUUGUUGGGGAAGGUGUUGUUGUUGUUGUUGUUGGGGCUGGUGUUGUUGUUGUUGUUGGGGAAGGUGUUGUUGUUGUUGUUGUCGGGGCAGGUGUUGUUGUUGUUGUUGUCGGGGCAGGUGUUGUUGUUGUUGUUGUUGUCGGGGCAGGUUUUGUUGUUGUUGUUGGGGCAGGUGUUGUUGUUGUUGUUGUUGUUGGGGCAGGUGUUGUUGUUGUUGUUGUUGGGGAAGGUGUUGUUGUUGUUGUUGGGGCAGGUGUUGUUGUUGUUGUUGUUGGGGCAGGUGUUGUUGUUGUUGUUGUUGUUGGGGCAGCUGUUGUUGUUGUUGUUGUUUGGGCAGGUGUUGUUGUUGUUGUUGUUGGGGCAGAUGUUGUUGUUGUUGUUGUUGUUGUUGUUGGGGCAGGUGUUGUUGUUGUUGUUGUUGUUGGGGCAGGUGUUGUUGUUGUUGUUGUUGUUGGGGAUGGUGUUGUUGUUGUUGUUGUUGGGGCAGGUGUUGUUGUUGUUGUUGUUGGGGCAGGUGUUGUUGUUGUUGUUGGGGCAGGUGUUGUUGUUGUUGUUGGGGCAGGUGUUGUUGUUGUUGUUGUCGGGGCAGGUGUUGUUGUUGUUGUUGUUGUUGGGGCAGGUGUUGUUGUUGUUGGGGCAGUGUGUUGUUGUUGUUGUUGGGGCAGGUGUUGUUGUUGUUGUCAGGGCAGGUGUUGUUGUUGUUGUUGUUGGGGCAGAUGUUGUUGUUGUUGUUGUUGUUGUUGGGGCAGGUGUUGUUGUUGUCGGGGCAGGUGUUGUUGUUGUUGUUGUUGUUGGGGCAGGUGUUGUUGUUGUUGUUGUUGGGGCAGGUGUUGUUGUUGUUGUUGGGGCAGGUGUUGUUGUUGUUGUUGUUGGGGCAGGUGUUGUUGUUGUUGUUGGGGCAGGUGUUGUUGUUGUUGGGGCAGGUGUUGUUGUUGUUGUUGGGGCAGGUGUUGUUGUUGUUGUUGUUGGGGCAGGUGUUGUUGUUGUUGUUGGGGCAGGUGUUGUUGUUGUUGUUGUCAGGGCAGGUGUUGUUGUUGUUGUUGUUGUUGUUGGGGCAGGUGUUGUUGUUGUUGUUGUCAGGGCAGGUGUUGUUGUUGUUGUUGGGGCAGAUGUUGUUGUUGUUGGGGCAGGUGUUGUUGUUGUUGUUGUUGGGGCAGGUGUUGUUGUUGUUGUUGUCGGGGCAGGUGUUGUUGUUGUUGUUGGGGCAGGUGUUGUUGUUGUUGUUGUUGGGGCAGGUGUUGUUGUUGUUGUUGUUGUCAGGGCAGGUGUUGUUGUUGUUGUUGUUGUUGGGGCAGAUGUUGUUGUUGUUGUUGUUGUUGUUGGGGCAGGUGUUGUUUUUGUUGUUGUCGGGGCAGGUGUUGUUGUUGUUGUUGUUGGGGCAGGUGUUGUUGUUGUUGUUGGGGAAGGUGUUGUUGUUGUUGUUGGGGCAGGUGUUGUUGUUGUUGUUGUUGUUGUUGUCGGGGCAGGUGUUGUUGUUGUUGUUGUUGGGGCAGGUGUUGUUGUUGUUGUUGUCAGGGCAGGUGUUGUUGUUGUUGUUGUUGUUGUUGGGGCAGGUGUUGUUGUUGUUGUUGUCAGGGCAGGUGUUGUUGUUGUUGUUGUUGUUGGGGCAGGUGUUGUUGUUGUUGGGGCAGGUGUUGUUGUUGUUGUUGUCGGGGAAGGUGUUGUUGUUGUUGUUGUUGGGGCAGGUGUUGUUGUUUUUGGGGAAGGUGUUGUUGUUGUUGUUGGGGCAGGUGUUGUUGUUGUUGUUGUUGGGGCAGGUGUUGUUGUUGUUGUUGUUGGGGCAGGUGUUGUUGUUGUUGUUGGGGAAGGUGUUGUUGUUGUUGUUGGGACAGGUGUUGUUGUUGUUGUUGUUGGGGAAGGUGUUGUUGUUGUUGUUG
rnacentral:lncRNA from 1 species